CACUGCUUGAGGAAUAAGCAUCGGCUAACUCCGUGCCAGCAGCCGCGGUAAUACGGGGGAUGCAAGCGUUAUCCGGAUUUAUUGGGCGUAAAGGGUUUGUAGRUUGYUGGCUGUAAKUCUAUGGCUCAAAUUCCGAAGCUCAACUUCGGGMCGGCACCUAGAAACUAAUCAACUUGAGUACGUUAGAGGCAGGGGGAAUUCCCAGUGUAGCGGUGAAAUGCGUAGAUAUUGGAAGGAACACCAAUGGCGAAGGCACUCUACUAGACUUUUACUGACACUCAGAGACGAAAGCUAGGGUAGCAAAAGGGAUUAGAUACCCCUGUAGUCCUAGCCGUAAACGAUGGAUACUAGAUGUUGUGCAUAAUGGACAGUAUCGUAGCUAACGCGUUAAGUAUCCCGCCUGGGGAGUACGCUCGCAAGGGUGAAACUCAAAGGAAUUGACGGGGGCCCGCACAAGCGGUGGAGCAUGUGGUUUAAUUCGAUGCAACGCGAAGAACCUUACCAGGGCUUGACAUACUACAGAUUCUUUUGAGAAAAAGAAGUGCCUUCGGGAAUGUAGAUACAGGUGGUGCAUGGCUGUCGUCAGCUCGUGUCGUGAGAUGUUGGGUUAAGUCCCGCAACGAGCGCAACCCUUAUUUUUAGUUACUAAUUCGUUAGGUUCUCUAGAAAGMCUGCCKGUGACAAACCGGAGGAAGGUGAGGAUGACGUCAAGUCAGCAUGCCCCUUAUGUCCUGGGCUACACACGUGCUACAAUGGUUAAGACAAAGAGUCGCGAGCUCGCGAGAGUCAGCUAAUCUCAUAAACUUAGCCUAAGUUCAGAUUGUAGGCUGCAACUCGCCUACCUGAAGAGUGASUCUU
rnacentral:rRNA from 1 species